rnacentral:rRNA from 1 species
UACGUAGGGGGCAAGCGUUGUCCGGAUUUAUUGGGCGUAAAGAGCGUGUAGGCGGCCUGACAAGUCUGCUGUGAAAACUCGAGGCCCAACCUCGAGAUGUCGGCGGAAACUGUCUGGCUAGAGUCCGGAAGAGGAGAGUGGAAUUCCUGGUGUAGCGGUGAAAUGCGCAGAUAUCAGGAAGAACACCUAUGGCGAAGGCAGCUCUCUGGGACGGUACUGACGCUGAGACGCGAAAGCGUGGGGAGCGAACAGG